CUGGCUAAAAAAGUUGGCAGUGCAAUGGUUACGCGCAAAAGGAGAGUUGCGCCGCGUGCGCCUUCACUGUUCUGAAGGGCAAAGGGAAUGAGGGAAACGGUCACAACAAAUAAAUAUAGCGUUUUCUUCCCACGAUGUAGCCUAGUUAAUCUGUGUUUGAUAUUAGACACUGGUGUUUCAACGAGUAUUUAGUUAGACCGCACAAUCGUUUAAGUCAAAGAGAGGAGCGUGUCUUCAACGAAACGUCAUCUAUUUGACUUGAAAGCCAUAGCCGGGGGAUAGACGAUUUAACAGUGACCUCCAGUAGUCGUGAGAUGUGCCGCGUGAGGCGGAUCGGACCAGCCUGUCGUCAACGAUUCACAGAGGACCACAUGCAUAGGCUACGCGCUUUCUUUUCUAGGUGGAAUAUCAAAACUAUUAUUGCCUGAAUAUGGAUUCCUAUUUAGCUUGUAAUUAACCAUCGGUUGAUUUUUUUUUUCGACCUAACUGGGCAGCAUCUAUGAGAAAAGUCUUACCAGUCAAUUCAGUCUGUUUCUGCAAUCCUGUUUUACGAAAACUCUUUCAUUAGGCCUACAUUAUAAUCUACGGAAGACACAUUUGAUUCAUUCGCCUCAUUAGUAAAGUGCUAUGAUCUUUAUUUUGUAGGCUAUCCUACAUAGGCUACUUGACAACCAAAAUUAAAGCAUUUUUGAAGCGCGUGAUUUUAAGUAAUAGUACCAAAGCUGACUGUUAAGUUGUCUUACUAACGUAUAGUCUUCGCCCGUCUGCACAGGUAGGCGAGAACGAACCCCAUGAAGUUAGCUUAAUCAGUCCAAAAGACACAUGCAAAGCCAUGAUGGGGGCAGUGACCGCUCAGUGUUUAGACGUCCUACACAGCAAAUUAUCACGGCUUUCACCUACUGGGUUACUCACUGUACAAAACUGGGAACAAUGGAUUUAAAAACGUAUUGGUGCUUUUAGAAAGAAUUCAAGGAAGAGGACAUAAGCCUUUUAUAAUUUACAGAACUAUUCCCGUGUCUUUGGAAAACUUAAUAAUGGGAACAAGACUGCAAGUUAUCCUUGGAGUGUUUCAGUUUGUUUCUCUCACAGGAAUACCCAUAUGUUGUGGCAAGCUAACACAGUGGCAACCUACAGAACCCCACAGAUCUAGAGAAGUGGUGAAGUGGAUGGACGUGUACCAGCGGAGCAGCUGCCAGCCGCGGGAGGUGUUGCUGGAGGUGUGGCGGGAGUUCCCAGAGGAGACGCACCUCCUCUACCUGCCGUCCUGUGUGCCCGUGCGCCGCUGCGGGGGCUGCUGCGCCGACGAGGCCCUGGAGUGCGUGCCCUCCCGCACCCACACACUCACCAUGGAGUUGAUGAAGACCUCAUACAUGAAGCAUGAGAUGGUCCAGCUCCCCUUCACCGAACACACUCAGUGUGAGUGCAGACCAAAAUCAGACAUGUACACCCCCCCAACCAGGCAGGAAGAUCACCGGCCGACACGGAAAGACAGAAAGAGGGAGCGUGGAAAAUCGCGACGAAAGAAAAACCGCAGGAUCAAGCCCACACGGCCAGUUUGGACCACUGGUCCUCCUAGUGUUGCCCCCACGCCCAGUACCCCCUCCUCCCCCCGCACUGGUGCAGUGCGCGCCCUGCCCCGGGCGCUGGCGGACCCUCGACCCCAUGUCAUGUGAGUGCCAGUGCAGGCUGAGGGAGACGGGCUGCACACGUCGAGGAAAAAGACUCAACCAGCACAGCUGCAGGUGUGAACCGGUGAGGGAAUGAUGUUGAUGAACACUCACUUCCUCCUGGUUAUAACCACUGUUGGCCCUCAUAGCUUUAAGGAGAGGAGAGGAGAGGGAUACGCUUCUCCGGGUGUUGGGAGGACAGUGGGGGGCGGUAGGGGCAGGUGGGUGGUGAACUUCCAUAGACUGUGAAAGAAGACUGUGGGACAGGGAGUGUGUGCCGUUGACUUUCUCAUGAUCCCUCUCCACUAAACAAAGCCAUCCACCACAGCAUCUGCAGAUGCUCUGAUCUACCUAUGUGUCUGUGUCUAUGUUGUGUGUCUUCCAGGCUUGCCACAUACUUGCUUUGAUAGCAUUUGCAGCUGAACGUCACCAUGUGUAUAGACAAAUAUAUGAUGUUGCUUCUUUAUGAGGUUAAAGGGUAAUGUAGACAACGUAAAUGUUUGAAAAAGGGAAAUGACCCGAACAUGUCAAGGUCUCCUGGGCACAAGACUCAAAUACCAGGACUAUUAGAAGGGUAUGGAAAGGGUAUGUUAUUACCCUUGAUGGCAAAAUGGGUGUGCAGUUUUAACAGAUCUAACCUGAAAUGGAUUUAUUGCAAUCCUAGCUUUUUGCUUAUAAGGGUUCUAAAUGUAGGUUACAAAUGACAAAUCUAGGGAAUUUUACAUCUACUACUUUAACUUACUAUAAACUGCCUGUGGAAUUGAAAUUACUUGAAUGUCGCCAGUUGCCAUAUGAAUGCUUCUACGUGAGUCAGGCUUUCCACCUAACAUAGUUACACACUUAUGACAAGAUACCUGACAAUUGAGAAUACAACAGUUUAAGACAGUUGUAGGUUGCAGAGAGAUUGGCUGUAUUAAACGAUAAGAGAGCUACUGUUGCAAUGCAGUAGAAGAGAAUAGCGUCAUGUCUGUGGUAUAUAGGAUUUAAACAUGGCAGAUGUGAUCAUCACUGCAGAUAUAGUGGAUGGUGUGUGUCUACACUGGCCAUGCUGAUUUUAACUGUGGGCUCAGGAUGGUUGGAAGAGAUAUCUGUGUGGUCCAUAGGUCUGCUCAUAUAUUCAUAGCCUUAUCACGGGCCCGCAGAUUAGAUCACUGAGUCUUUUUGUGUUUGUGUUUGUUUUGUUUGUUUUUUUCCCCUCCAUCUUUCUUUUUUUCUGUUAGGAUUGAAAGAGCCUUGAGCUCUGGCUAGGCAGUGAGGGGAAUGUCAAUAGUAAGGGGAACUGGCCUUAUUCCAUGAGUGCUGUGAGACACACACACACACACACACACACACACACACUCAGUCGUACACACACACACACACACACACACACACAUACACACAGUCAAUCUUACUUUCAAUUGAAUUAGUCCCUUUGAUUCAUUCCUUUUUAAUUCAUUACAGCCACUCUGAGUAGUCCACACAAUCUUAACCACCACAUCCUAAGAAAAGCUAUAAUGUCAUAAUCAGUCUCUUUCCCGCUCCUCUCUUUUCCUCUCUCUCUCUCUCUCUCUCUCUCUCUCUCUCAUUCUCAUUCUCAUACUCACACUCACACUCACACACACCUCAUACUCAUUCUAGAUGUGUAGACAUGUGCGUUUGUGUUAUUGUCCUUAUGUUAUUUUAGCCUCAUUCUUUUGCAGAUAGUAUCCCCAAGACGUGUUUCUUUUGCACGCAGUGUUUCUUUGUUUCUCUGUUUUUGUUUUCUGUUAAUCCGCCUGCACAGAAUCUGUCUGGGUGGCCUAGUAUGUACACAUUUGGCAUCCACACACAUGUCUGUGUUUGGACUGAAUUUAAACAGGGGAGAAAGGGGAAGGUUAAGCAGGCCAGAAAAAGAGAAAUAACUAUAUAGUGUAUUAAUCAACAGCAGCAUCAACUCUGAGCAGUAUGGGGAAAAAGAUCACAAAGUCACUCAUGUGUUUGUGAACAUACUGUUUGUGGACUGGAUUGAACUGUACAUUAUCUGGAGUUUAAUAUAUUUAUUUUUUAUAUUGAGUUUUAUAUUGAGCUAUGCAUUAUUUCUGUGAAUUUGUGAAUUUAAUUGCUACUGUGACAACACACAAACAAUCAGUGUUCUACAUGGAGGACAAUUAUCAAUUUAUACAUUUAUACAUAAUGGUUGGUGAUUAGACUGUGGUUAAUAUUUAAAGAUUUACAGUUGCAUAGAUAUUAGUAUAUUUUGUUAAUGUCAAACAUUUUGUAGUGCCUAUUAUUAUAAACCAUAUAAGAGGUGGAAGCCUGUUUCAAAGGAAGAUAUUCUACAAGCACUGAAUUUCUUAUGAGUUCAUAGCCAAACUUAAGUCUGCCGCUUUCUUCACGCUAACAAUAUUUUACAUGACCUCUUUUUUGUUAUUAAACAGAGGCAUUGGACCCAGCAGUGAUGAUGACGAUAUUAUAUUGUUAAGUUUCCCGAUGGCUAUUCUGCUAUCCAGGGAGGGAAAUCAGACAGUUGCUAAUUUGAAUAAUACCCAUGUCCAACAAUGGGCUCUGUUGUGCUUUUCACAUUCCAUAUCAAAACAUACACAUGUGUGCACGUCCCUCUGUUUGCAGUAUGUGCCCAUUCAUGUUUUAGCUGUCUGUUUAUGUGUGGGCCAGACACGGUGGAUGUCUCCUGUUUCUUCUCUCUUGGUUCUGGUUCUUUUCUUCCCUGUUUGUUUUGGCUGAAGUGUCACAACCCUAACACCCCAUCAUUAUGUGACAGAACAGAGGCUCGUGUAGGGUCAGUAGGUGUGUGGUAUUUCAGGCCCUUCAAAUGGAUAUCGGGGCAGUUAAGCGAACAGAUGCACUAGCAGUUUAGACACUAUUAUAUUUAUACUGGGCCCCAUUUUUCUUUUCAUUUUUAGAACAUGCAGUUGAACUGCUCUCUCUCUCUCUCUCUCUCUCUCUCUCUCUCUCUCUCUCUCUCUCUCUCUCUCUCUCUCUCUCUCUCUCU